GACGAACGCUGGCGGCGAGCCUAAUACAUGCAAGUCGAGCGGACCGGAUUGGGGCUUGCCUUGAUUCGGUCAGCGGCGGACGGGUGAGUAACACGUGGGCAACCUGCCCGCCAGACCGGGAUAACUCCGGGAAACCGGAGCUAAUACCGGAUAACACCGAAGACCGCAUGGUCUUCGGUUGAAAGGCGGCCUUUGGGCUGUCACUUGCGGAUGGGCCCGCGGCGCAUUAGCUAGUUGGUGAGGUAACGGCUCACCAAGGCGACGAUGCGUAGCCGGCAUGAGAGGGUGACCGGCCACACUGGGACUGAGACACGGCCCAGACUCCUACGGGAGGCAGCAGUAGGGAAUCUUCCGCAAUGGGCGAAAGCCUGACGGAGCGACGCCGCGUGAGCGAAGAAGGCCUUCGGGUCGUAAAGCUCUGUUGUGAGGGACGAAGGAGCGUCGUUCGAAGAGGGCGGCGCGGUGACGGUACCUCACGAGAAAGCCCCGGCUAACUACGUGCCAGCCGCCGCGGUAA
rnacentral:rRNA from 1 species